AGUGGACGCCGGCGGUAGGCCUAACACAUGCAAGUCGAACGGCAGCACAGUAAGAGCUUGCUCUUACGGGUGGCGAGUGGCGGACGGGUGAGGAAUACAUCGGAAUCUACUUUUUCGUGGGGGAUAACGUAGGGAAACUUACGCUAAUACCGCAUACGACCUACGGGUGGAAGCAGGGGAUCUUCGGACCUUGCGCGAUUGAAUGAGCCGAUGUCGGAUUAGCUAGUUGGCGGGGUAAAGGCCCACCAAGGCGACGAUCCGUAGCUGGUCUGAGAGGAUGAUCAGCCACACUGGAACUGAGACACGGUCCAGACUCCUACGGGAGGCAGCAGUGGGGAAUAUUGGACAAUGGGCGCAAGCCUGAUCCAGCCAUACCGCGUGGGUGAAGAAGGCCUUCGGGUUGUAAAGCCCUUUUGUUGGGAAAGAAAAGCAGCAGGUUAAUACCCCGCUGUUCUGACGGUACCCAAAGAAUAAGCACCGGCUAACUUCGUG
rnacentral:rRNA from 1 species